rnacentral:rRNA from 1 species
AGUGAACGCUGGCGGUAGGCCUAACACAUGCAAGUCGAACGGCAGCACAGUAAGAGCUUGCUCUUACGGGUGGCGAGUGGCGGACGGGUGAGGAAUACAUCGGAAUCUACUUUUUCGUGGGGGAUAACGUAGGGAAACUUACGCUAAUACCGCAUACGACCUACGGGUGAAAGCAGGGGAUCUUCGGACCUUGCGCGAUUGAAUGAGCCGAUGUCGGAUUAGCUAGUUGGCGGGGUAAAGGCCCACCAAGGCGACGAUCCGUAGCUGGUCUGCGAGGAUGAUCAGCAACACUGAACUGAGACACGGUCCAGACUCCUACGGGAGGCAGCAGUGGGGAAUAUUGGAUAAUGGGCGCAAGCCUGAUCCAGCCAUACCGCGUGGGUGAAGAAGGCCUUCGGGUUGUAAAGCCCUUUUGUUGGGAAAGAAAAGCAGCAGGUUAAUACCCCGCUGUUCUGACGGUACCCAAAGAAUAAGCACCGGCUAACUUCGUG